ensembl:lncRNA
GUUAAGUGUUGUAAUGGAUAUAUCUGAGUGGGUUUAUGUUGUAAAAUUAGUCUAGAUAUCUUGAUAAACAGCUAACUGGUAACUUAGUUAGCAACUGAUACGUACAUUUUUAAAAGUUAGCUUUUAGUACAAUAUACAUGUUUAUUAAUUAAUGUUAGUUUAGCUUUAAGAAAUUUACAAUGUAUUUUGUUUUAUUACGAUGUGAUUUAAUGUAUAUGUUUUAAUGUGUAUAUAUAUUUAAUGUUUUUAGGUUUAGAUAGCAAAUGUUGCCGUUCUUUUGGAAAACUGCUGGUCUUUAAAGAACAGUCAUUAAUCAGGAUCCUCUGUUCCCAGACCCAACCAUUCAUCUGAAGGACUGUGAAAAUAUGAACCCUUUGAACCACCGGUGACAGUUUCCACAUGAUAAAUAGAAAGGACAUGGCAGAGGAUGAUAGGGGUGUUGAUAUUUCACUGAAAUUAAACAUCAUUUAAUUACAUUUAGUCUGCUAGUCAGAAUUAUAGCUGAUUAAAUAAAAAUAAAUAGUGGUUCAUGUUUGUUUUGGGAUAGUGGUUCAUGAGUGCUUUGUCCUGAACAGUUUAAAUGGCCGCUUUUCUUCAGAAAAAUCCUCCAGAUCCUUCACUUUCUCAGGUUUUCCAGCAUCUUUUGCAUAUUUGAACUCUUUCCAGCAAUGAAUGUAUGAUUUCAGAUCCAUUUUUUACACUGAGGACAAUUGAGGGACUCAUACACAACUAUUUCAAAAGGUAAACGCAUUUAUUGAUUUUCAAGAAAUUCAUUUUUUCUGAAAAUCAGUGUUAAAAAGUAUGUAGCUUCAGAAGGGCAGUACUAAAUUAACAGAUAUGAUCUUUAAACAAAACAAGAAAAAUUUACUUAUCAUCCUGUUCAAAAUGUACACCCCCCAACUCUUAAUACAUUGUGUUUCCUUCUGGAGCAUCAGUGAACAAUGUUUUCACCUUUCAUAAUAGUUGGGUAUGAGUCCUUCAUUUUUCCUCAGAGUGAAGAGAAAAUGAUUAGUCAUUGUCGGACAAGGGCCAAAUAUGCAGAAGAUGCUAGAAAACCAAAGAAUUUGUGGGACUUGGAGGACUUUUCUGAAGAACAGCAGGCAGUUGAAUUGCUCUGGACUCAUGAAAAACUAUCCCAAAACAUAAAAAUAUUUGGGUCAUCCAGUAUAUGUAAACUUCUGAACAUUUUUAUAAAUUAUACAUUUUCAUUUUUAUAAAAUCAGUAAAUAUGUAAAUAUCUAUUAAGUAAAAUUGCUUAUUCAUGACGGUACUAAAUAUAAAUAGCAUACAUUAUGAGCCCUCUUAUUUUGUUAAAAUUAUCGCAUAUUCUGCUCGGCACAGAUGGGCAAACUCAGUCCUGGAGGGCUACUGUCCUGCAGAGUUUCGCUCCAACCCUAAUUAAACAGACCUGAAGCUAAUCAAGGUCUUCAGACAGGUGAGUUUGAUCAGGGUUGGAGCAGAACUCUGCAGGACAGUAGCCCUCCAGGACUGAGUUUGCUCAUCUCUUUGAUGGGGUAUGUAAACUUAUGAGCAUAACAGUAUCUUCUGUAGCUUCUGAAAGGCAGAAUUAAAUGAAAAAACAUGGCAUGGUCCUGAUGGUGCCGUAAGAGUUGUAGAAUAUGUGUGUGUUACUGUCUGAUUGAGAGAGCGGUAAUCACUGUCCUGAUUUUGCAGUAUCCAUUGCAAGUGUAUUCAUUAUUGUGUUUGUCUUUUGGUUAGUAUACAUUUUUUAUUGUUUCUUUUCAAAAUUAUUUUAUUUUUUAUUCAGUUUAAUGUUGUACUUGAAGUGACUGUGUUUGCAAAAUAUUUAAAAUAUUUUUCUCAAUCUAAAUUAUGUUGCAGUCCUGCUGAGAUUGUUUAAUAAUAUUUGCAGUCCUGUUAAAUGUUUGCUGUCUUGCAUUUGCUAAAAAAAAUAAAAAUUGAGUUUUGUUG